GAAAUGCGAUAAGUAGUGUGAAUUGCAGAAUUUAGCGAAUCAUCGAAUCUUUGAACGCACAUUGCGCCCUCUGGCAUUCCGGGGGGCAUGCCUGUCCGAGCGUCAUUACGCACCCUCAAGCCCGGCUUGUGUGAUGGGCCCUGGCGUCUCGUUCGCGAGACGGGCCCGAAAGGCAGCGGCGGCGUCGACCCGAUGAGCCCGAGCGUAUGGGGACUUUUGUCACACGUUUGCGGUGCGGACCGGCGCCUGCUUGACUUUUCUGAUUAUCCAGGUUGACCUCGGAUCAGGUAGAGAUACCCGCUGAACUUAAGC
rnacentral:misc_RNA from 1 species